AUAGGUGUAGCUCAGUGGUAGAGCACUUGGUUAGCAUGCUGGAGGCCCUGGGUCCAAUUCCCAGCACUGUA
rnacentral:tRNA from 1 species